rnacentral:tRNA from 1 species
GGGCGAUUAGCUCAGCUGGUUAGAGUACUUGCUUGACAUGCAAGGGUCGGCGGUUCAACUCCGUUAUCACCCACCA